GACGAACGCUGGCGGCGUGCCUAAUACAUGCAAGUCGAGCGCGGGAAGCAAACAAUCACCUUCGGGUGAGCGUUUGUGGAACGAGCGGCGGACGGGUGAGUAACACGUGGGCAACCUGCCUGUAAGAUUGGGAUAACUUGCGGAAACGUGAGCUAAUACCGGAUAAUGAUUUCUGCCGCAUGGCAGGAAUCUGAAAGACGGCGCAAGCUGUCACUUACAGAUGGGCCCGCGGCGCAUUAGCUAGUUGGUGGGGUAACGGCCUACCAAGGCGACGAUGCGUAGCCGACCUGAGAGGGUGAUCGGCCACACUGGGACUGAGACACGGCCCAGACUCCUACGGGAGGCAGCAGUAGGGAAUCUUCCGCAAUGGACGAAAGUCUGACGGAGCAACGCCGCGUGAGCGAAGAAGGUCUUCGGAUCGUAAAGCUCUGUUGUCAGGGAAGAACAAGUACGAGAGUAACUGCUCGUACCUUGACGGUACCUGACCAGAAAGCCACGGCUAACUACGUGCCAGCAGCCGCGGUAAUACGUAGGUGGCAAGCGUUGUCCGGAAUUAUUGGGCGUAAAGCGCGCGCAGGCGGUCCUUUAAGUCUGAUGUGAAAGCCCGCGGCUUAACCGCGGAGGGUCAUUGGAAACUGGAGGACUUGAGUGCAGAAGAGGAGAGUGGAAUUCCACGUGUAGCGGUGAAAUGCGUAGAGAUGUGGAGGAACACCAGUGGCGAAGGCGACUCUCUGGUCUGUAACUGACGCUGAGGCGCG
rnacentral:rRNA from 1 species